rnacentral:rRNA from 1 species
UACCAGCACCCCGAGUGGUCGGGACGUUUAUUGGGCCUAAAGCAUCCGUAGCCGGUUCUACCAGUCUUCCGUUAAAUCCACCUGCUUAACAGAUGGGCUGCGGAAGAUACUAUAGAGCUAGGAGGCGGGAGAGGCAAGCGGUACUCGAUGGGUAGGGGUAAAAUCCGUUGAUCCAUUGAAGACCACCAGUGGCGAAGGCGGCUUGCCAGAACGCGCUCGACGGUGAGGGAUGAAAGCUGGGGGAGCAAACAGG